ACUAAUCCCCCAAAACAAUCUCCAAUCCUCACGCAUAAACAUUCUUUCUCUUUCCUCUCGUUUCUUCAUCCUUUUUUUUUUUGCGUCAAAUUAAGUAUCUGAAGUUCGACACUGAAAUUUAGGGUUCUUCAGCACUCAAGAAUGGUAGAACAAGGUGUUUGAGAAGGCCCUCCAAUGUUCAAUUUCAAGUUACGAGGAGGUGGCCAAACACCACUGUCUCCAUGCCGGUAAAUCUCCCAGGCAGCCAAGGUCGUGGGCAUUUGAUUUCCAAGCAGCUUUUUGAGUCACCAGGAGUAUCAGAAAGCCAUAAUUAUAUCUAAGAGACGCAGAGAGAUGAUUUACACGCACGCGACUUUGGUAACCCCAUACUGAAAACUCUGAACAGUCAUAGGAAGGUGAAGGGUCAAAUUGUGCACCAGAAAUGGUUUUAAGCCCUACUGGAUUGUGGUAAGUUUUUUAGCUAAUAUAUGGUUUAUGAUGUUUGUAUAAAAUGAUAUUCACAAUUCACGUGUUUGUUUGAUGUUCAAUUUGAUUUGAUGAUAACAAAGUUAGUGGAUCCAUCACUGACAUUUUCUAGAGCCAUUUUCGAAAACCUUGGUUCAAUUACAGUGAUGUAGACGAUGCCACAAGGCCGUAUUAGUAGAACUCAUUCACAAUAUAUAUGAAUCGAAUUAUGAAGAAUGAAAUUAAUUAUAUUAGUUUAUUAAUAACUUAGUUUAAUCUUUGAUUAAAAAGUCUCUUCAAAUGGGCUCCUAAAUUAGAUGGCUAAGUGAGGAAAACUUACAAGAUGAAAGCUGCAUAUCGUCUGAGAGACUUGCGAUACUGGGUGCUUAAGAAAGCUAAAAAAAAGCCAAAAUGGUUGGGAGAAACCAUUUACGAAGCAAUGGAAAAGAAAAGUCUAGAGCUCACGUUCCUCGAAAAAUCUGAAAAGGCGAAGAAGAACCGAAGAGGUGGCUCCCUGUCUAAUCCAAUUGAGCCGUCACACUUUCAGGAUUUCUAUCUCGACGUCAAAACAUGUUAAAAAGAUGAUAAAAAUGUUUCAUAUCUACUACUUAAUUAUAAACACCAGGAAUAGGCUUUAUUUUUGCGGUAGAGAGCAAUUUAUAUUUUUGCGGUAGAGAGCAAUUUAAACUAAGUAGUAGAUAUGAAACAUUUUUAUUAUCUUUUUAGCAUGCUGUGACGUCGAGAUAGAAAUCCUGAAAGUGUGACGGCUCAAUUGGAUUAGACAACGAGCCACCUCUUCGGUUCUUCUUCGCCUUUUCAGAUUUUUCGAGGAACGUGAGCUCUUGACUUUUCUUUUUCAUUGUUUCGUAGAUGGUUUCCCCCAACCAUUUUGGCCUUUCUUUAGCUUUCUUAAGCACUCAGUACCGCAAGUCUCUCAGACGAUAUGCAACUUUCAUCUUAUAAGCUUUCCUCACUUGGCCAUCUAAUUUAGGAGCCCAUUUGUAGAGACCUUUUAAUCAAUGAUUAAACUAAGUUAUUAAUAAACUAAUAUAAUUAAUUUCAUAAUUCGAUUCAUAUAUUGUGAAUGAGUUCUACUAAUACGGCAUUGUGGCAUCGUCUACAUCAGUGUAAUUGAACCAAGGUUUUCGAAAAUGGCUCAAGAAAAUGUCAGUGAUGGAUCCACUAACUUUGUUAUUAUCAAAUCAAAUUGAACAUCAAACAAACACGUGAAUUGUGAAUAUCAUUUUAUACAAAUAUUAUGAAUCAUAUAUUAGCUUAGAAACUUACCACAAUGUAAGGCUUAAAACUUUUUUUGGUGCAGAGUUUGACUCUUCACCUUCCUCCCUAUAACUGUUUGGAGUUUCGAUACUUGGUUACCAAAGUCACGUGCCUGUGAAUCAUCUCUUUGCGUCUCUGAAAUAUGAUUCUGGCGUUGUGGUAGUCUUGGUGACUCAAAAAGCUGUCAAGGAAUCCAGAACUGAACGUAAACUAACAUAUGUUGCAAGAAAUACUAGAGGGUAAUUUUCAUUACUAUGGACAAGUGUCAUCAUUCUUGUGCUCUUGACGACUCCUUGGAUGGCUAGGUGGUCAAUGUUCCACCAUCGAGCACUAACACGCUGAAUCAGGUCACCAGGAAUAUAUAUAUUGUUUGAGUUGCGAUGUAUAUAGUGAUUUGAACAAACUGCUUUGUUGUCAUGUAUCAUAAAUGUAUGAUACUUGUUGAUUUAGCCUUUUAUUUUACCUUCAAAGAAGGCAUAUAUUUUCUGCAAAUGAGGUAUGAUGCUUGGCAGGAGGCUCUUGACAGUUUAUUUUUCCAUCUUAUCAAAUUCAGGUGUAAUUUGUUUUUUUAUCUCUUCGCCGCCUGUGAUGAUGUUCAUGAGGACUUGCAAGAAAACUUUGUGUGCCUUUGUUUGUCAAUCGUCAAAAAGCUUUGAGUACCUUCAGAUUUUUGUAAGUAUGUCACUGCAUUUUAAGAGAAUAUACAUUGUCAUGUUAUGUAUUAACUUAUUGGAGCACUUACAAUUAUGUUAUAUUUACAGCUUCACUCUUUUUUGUCUGACUAUUGUCAUUUUGGUCAUUUGUUUGAGCAUUAGAAGUUUAGAACGUCUCGUCAUUUUUUCAUAGAUAUAAAUAAGGCCCCCUAUCUCAUGAACAAUUGGCGUGAUAUUUGUUUAGAACAAUUUCUAGAGAGUAAAUUGUUUUAUACAAAGAAGAUUAGCUUUAAACCUUUUGUAUCCAAGUGAGUGUAUUAUACAAAGUGACUGUAUACGGAGAACUCACUGCAUGAUAAUGUAAUGCAUGGUAGAUAAAGUAAAUAACCUGCAGAACAAGUGCUGGGUCAUUUCAGAGUUCCACAGGUAUGUGAGCUGCACUUUGCCAUUUAGCAUGCUAAGAAGUCUGCAGAUGAUAGCAGGUUGUAUGUUAUCCGCUAGCAUGCUUUGUAUGUACAUUAAAGGAUUCCAUCGUUGAACAUGAAUUGUACACGAAAGAACAUAUGAAUUUACAUGAAAAAUAUGUGAUUUUGUAUGAUUGAAUUAUGAAGUAAUCUGAUCAAGUUAUUUAUGCUAGCAAGGGAAGGCAUAGACUUAUUGAAUGUCUUUAUUUACCAGUACUAGAAGCCUAGAUGUGUAGAUUAUUUGAUCUUCUUUGCUCUAAGAAUUAUUUUGGGGUGAGUGUUGCGUGUAUGUGUGUGUGGGGGGUAUUCAUUCAUGGAAAGUUUUGUGAUGAUGGUGCUGUAAACCAAUAUUUGAAACUAAAAGAAAGCGAUUCCCUUUAUUAGUGAGUUUCAUACAUUUGGUUUAGUUGUUGACAAACGCAAAGAGUCUGAAAAGUGAAAAAUUAGAAUGAUAGCAUAUAAUUUUCAGAACAAUGCAAAUGUUUUGUUACUAUAUAUUUAUUUUGAAGCUGAUAAAGAUCUAGAUUAUAGUACUUAUCUUGACAUGGAGAAUACAAUUAGUAGCUAGAUAGAUUCUUCAGAUUUACCACUUAUUUUUCAACCUCGGCAACCUUCUAGGAUGUAAACUUAGCUAUUAUUUAGUGGGAGAGAAAAAGGAGCUUUAGGAAUUAGGACACUGAUGGUAGAUUAAGGACUUGAUCUACACUUGAAACUUGAUGAUAUGAUCCAAAUCGUAUUGGAUUUCUUUUGUUCUGACGUCUUAAAUUGUCUCAUAUUAGAAUUUUCCUAAGAAGAAUGUUUGGCUCCUUAGAUGUAUGAUUUAUUUAGGGUAUCGAAAUGAGAAUAGCACGCAAAAAUGGCUGAUGAUUAAGUGUUGAUUACAAUUAAAAUAAGACCUUGGGUAUUUCGUUGGUAUUGUUAGACCUCCAGUGUCAUAACUCAAGAUGAAGGUAGUGGUAUGGAUGAUUGUAUACAAUAAGCUACCCCUCAUAAGUGUGUUGGGCUCUAAUUAAUUGGUCAAGAAAUUGAGUUUUCUUGCGCUUUAGAGUCAUUAUUACUUCGUAGCCUUGUAAAGGGAGAAAGAAAUGUCAUCUGCGCCUUUCUCUAAUUGCUUAGCUUUAUAAUACUAACUUAUUUCUUGUUGAAGCUAGGGGAGAUACGUGGUUCUUUGUUCUGUGCUAUAAAAAAGCCUGUAAAUUUCUUAUGACUUGUUAUGUACCUUUCCUUUUUCUACCUUAAGAAAGAAGUAUUGUUUGUACUAAACAGUUUUGCAAUUGAGUGUUGGUCGCUAGGGUUGAGCACCGGUCCAGGACCGGACCAGGCCGGAACCGACUGGACUGGUGGAUCGUAAUUGGGCAGAUCUUUGAACAUGGACUGAACCUGUUUCGAUUCCUAUUCGGUCUUGGUUUCAGAACAAUGCAAUGUUUUGUUAUUAUAUAUUUAUUCUGAAGCAGAUAGAGAUCUUGAUUAUAGUACUUAUCUUGACAUGGAGAAUACAAUUAGUAGCUAGGUAGAUUCUUUAGAUUAACCACUUGUUUUUCAACCUCAACAUGUCUUCUAGGAUGUAAAAUGUGUUACAAAUAUUAAAGUGUUAAAGUAUUACCUAUUUUAAAGUGUUACAUCAAGAUGUUAUUCAAUUGAAAAAGUGUUACAUCGAGGUUACUUCUGGAAAAAGUGUUACAUAUUAAUGAAGUGCUACCAAGGUAUUACGUAUGUAUUUGAAAAAAAUUGAAUUUUGAAAAGUAUUACCCUAUAUAUUUGAGAAAAUUAAAUUUUAAAAGUGUUACUUUAGACCAACUUUGUACUAAAGAAGAAGCUUUAGGAUUUGGGACAAUGAUGGUAGAUUAAGGAUUUGAUCCACUCUUGAAACUUGAUGAUAUGAUCUAAAUAGUAUUGGAUUUCUUUUGUGCUGAUGUCUUAAAUUGUCUCAUAUUAGAAUUUUCCAAAGGAGAAUGUUGGCUCCUUACAUGUAUGAUGAUUUAGUGUAUCAUAUUGACAUACUAUAAUAUAAACCUAGAACGUAUACUAUAUGCUCUGUAGGUCAGUGAUGCUGCCACAAUAUGCAAAACAGAGGGUGCUCUCGCUUGGUCCAAGUAUAUUCAAGAGUUCAUCUUUCAGUAUGUGUUUAUGCUUAAUAUCUUAAAGAAGUUUCAGACUUCCAAUUGCCAUGUAUUUUGGAUUUUUUUUUCCUCUAGUGGUUGUAUCUUGGGCAGAAGAAUUCCCCUGAUUAUUUGUACUCAAACUAAAUGAUGCAUGAUUAACUAUAUCAAGAAGCAUUUUAUGUUUCUUA